UUUUAUACCGGUUCUCGUUAGAUCACCGAAGUCAAGCAUCAUUGGGCGCGGUCAGUAUUUGGGUGGGUGACCACCUGGGAACACCGCGUGCCGUU
rnacentral:rRNA from 1 species